rnacentral:rRNA from 1 species
CCUACGGGAGGCAGCAGUGGGGAAUAUUGCACAAUGGGCGCAAGCCUGAUGCAGCCAUGCCGCGUGUGUGAAGAAGGCCUUCGGGUUGUAAAGCACUUUCAGCGGGGAGGAAGGCGGUGAGGUUAAUAACCUCAUCGAUUGACGUUACCCGCAGAAGAAGCACCGGCUAACUCCGUGCCAGCAGCCGCGGUAAUACGGAGGGUGCAAGCGUUAAUCGGAAUUACUGGGCGUAAAGCGCACGCAGGCGGUCUGUCAAGUCGGAUGUGAAAUCCCCGGGCUCAACCUGGGAACUGCAUUCGAAACUGGCAGGCUAGAGUCUUGUAGAGGGGGGUAGAAUUCCAGGUGUAGCGGCGAAAUGCGUAGAGAUCUGGAGGAAUACCGGUGGCGAAGGCGGCCCCCUGGACAAAGACUGACGCUCAGGUGCGAAAGCGUGGGGAGCAAACAGGAUUAGAUACCCCAGUAGUC